rnacentral:misc_RNA from 1 species
AUUAAAUAUUAAAAUCAAAAUUAUUAUUACAUUACACUAUUUAUAUUUUUAUUUUGCAAUCAAGCAUAAGAAUAUAAUGAAAUUACAUUCCAUUAUAAUGCAACUUUGAUUGUAUUACAUAAUUGAUUACAUUGCAUUACGUUAUACUCUAUCAAACAUAACCUAAAAUCACAAAAAGUCCGGUCAAGAUUUAUAACACAACACCAAAUGAGUCAAAAUAAUAGGUAAUGCAAGAGCCUAUAACCAAUAUAUUUACUUUCGACACAUGGUUAAUCUAUUUUUGCACGAGCAGGGCUUUUGUUCCACGAAUUGGUGGUGAAAAAAAAAUUAUUUACUCUGGAAACCAGCCUCAUCUUGUGCAAAAAAAAAGUUCCUGCAAGGCGGCAUCGAAUUUUAUUCAACAACAAUAAAUCACAGGUUUCUCGACAUAAAUAAAAGAAACCUGAUAAUGUUUAUUGCUGAAGGUUAAACAAGAGGUUGACGUUAAAACUUGAAAAUAGCCGCCCCACUUGAUGGCUUUGAAGCGAAAACAUAGAGGCCAAGAUCAUUCUCGUUGAUUAUACCCUUGUCAAUCCUUGCUUGGAAGAACUUUUCCUUCAAAUUGAGGAUGAACUGUGGGACAAUGGACUCUUUUACCAAAGCUACUGCACAGCCACCCCAUCCAGCACCUGUAAGCCUUGCACCUAAAGCACCAUGUUCCCUGCAAACAUUUACAAGUUCUUCCAACUCUGGGCAGCUGUUAUCAGCAAGAGAAAGACAGGAUCCAACACAAUCAGCAUGCUACAGAAGAGACUUUGAAGGAAUAAAUUUAUGUUAGGCAGCAGGCUCAGAAAGAAAGUAAAUGGAGAAGCCAACCAAAUGGCCAUAGCAGUCAAGCAAUGUCCAAUUUUAUGUGCAAGGCAUAGAACCAAGCAUAAGAUCUCUCUCUCUCUCCCCCCCUCUUUUCGUUCCCCAAUUGUAUUAAAGGUGGCAGCUCAAUGCUUACCAAUGUGGAAAAUUCACAUCUUAAAGAAUCACGGUGAAGAGAGUUUGUAACACCCCUAUAUUCAUCAGUUCCGUACAGAUUACUUUUCCGGCGACUGAUGUCUGUCCGGACAGUUAGGAUAUUCAGAACUAUAAUUAAGUCACCUUUUGGUGAAAUGGCCUGGAGAGUUAGAAGAACUCCAGGGUUAAACAUGCUCGCUUGAGAGAAAUCUUAGGAUGGGUGACCUUCUGAGAAAUUUUUCAUUCCACCUAUGGAACAAAACCGUGAGGCUUAUGGCAAAAGCAGACAAUUACUUUAGUGGUUGAAGCCCAACUGUUACAGAGCUGAUGUAAAUUCUUGCAUAUUUUGGAAAGAAACUUGGAACUCAAAAUUUGUACCUGCAUUCGUAUAAAACACUGCAGCUGUAGUGGCUGUCAUUCAUAAGGUCACCCAGCUUCUUUAACUUGUCCUUAUCCCUCAAAUUUGAUGAUACAGUGUCCUUGAAAGCACGUACCCGCCUUGCUUCAGAGUAAACAUGUGCAGCCCUCUGAUGUAACUUGUAAUGCUUAGCUGCUUUCAAAACAUCCAAUGAAGAUGGAGAACUGCUGAAAAUUAAUGGCAGGUUUUCCUCAGUGAUUUUUUCGAUCUCUUCAGCCGUAUAUGGUUCCUCUUUUAAAAACUCCUUAACAGCAACAACAGGAUCAGAAGAACCAUGACUACUAGCAAAUGAGACGCACAACCCCUCAACAUCAGAAAGGGUUUUCACUUUUGAUGUUGCAUCUUGUGGUUUCAUUCCAAGCUUUAUUGCAAGUACAAUAGCAGCUAGCCGACAUUCAACAACUCUGUUGUUGUAAUUUGUAGCAGCAGUGACAGCCUUUUGAGAUUCUGCCAAGGAAUGUGCAAUUACAAAAGUCCCACCAGUAGGAAGUUGCACAUCAGUGGCACGAAUAGGGUUGAAAUCAAUAAGCUCUGCGAACCCAGUUUGGGCCAUGACAGAGAUUGCCUGAUCCAUUCCUCCAGAUUGUGUUCCAAUGUGCCUUUCACAAUCACAUGUGAGUUGGGCAAUUUCUUUCUUUGGAAAGUUCACAUUAAAAGCAGCCAUAAUAGCAAUUGUAGAAGAACAGACGAAUGCUGUGGAGCUUGAUAGACCCGAACCUGUUGGGACAGUUCCAUCGACAAGAACAUCAAGUCCAACUGGCACACCAACAUCCACUUCUUUUGAUUUAGCAUAUUCAUAAUAACCUUUGAACCCGCAGAUGAAAUAAUGGCCCCAUCUAUGAUUUUUCAAGUCAAUUUCCUGGUUAGGAUCAGCAGGAUAAGUACACAUGGUGUACUUGUCAUUAACAUUAGCGAUUCUAAGAAACUUUUGAGCCUCUCCGGCGUCAUGCUUGCGGAUUGCUACGAUGGUGUCUUGCCGGAUUGCCAUCGGCAGCACCGAGUAACCUUCAUAGUCAAUGUGCUCUCCGAUCAAGUUCACUCUCCCUGGAGAUCGAGCAUAGACGUCAGGGAGAUGUCCAAAGACUUGGAGAAACUUGGAUUUCAAUCUGUCAAAUCUAAGCUGAGCUUCUUGGAGCAGAGAACCGUCUCCAUAAACAGGCUCCAAAGAAGAGUAAGUGGGAAUUGGAAGCUCUUCGUGUUUAGCCAUUGAUGGUCUCUGGUUAUCAACGAAAUCACUCUCUCUAAAACGCCACCGCAAAGAUACAAC